rnacentral:tRNA from 1 species
UCCCUCGUCGCCCAAUCGGCAGGGCAGGCGACUGUUAAUCGUCACGGUGCUGGUUCGAGUCCAGCCGGGGGAG